UGCGUAGGUGGUUUCUUAAGUCAGAGGUGAAAGGCUACGGCUCAACCGUAGUAAGCCUUUGAAACUGGGAAACUUGAGUGCAGGAGAGGAGAGUGGAAUUCCUAGUGUAGCGGUGAAAUGCGUAGAUAUUAGGAGGAACACUAGUUGCGAAGGCGGCUCUCUGGACUGUAACUGACACUGAGGCACGAAAGCGUGGGGAGGCAAAACA
rnacentral:rRNA from 1 species